CUCGUAGGCGGUUCGUCGCGUCCGGUGUGAGAGUCCAUCGCCUAACGGUGGAUCUGCGCCGGGUACGGGCGGGCUGGAGUGCGGUAGGGGAGACUGGAAUUCCCGGUGUAACGGUGGAAUGUGUAGAUAUCGGGAAGAACACCAAUGGCGAAGGCAGGUCUCUGGGCCGUUACUGACGCUGAGGAGCGAAAGCGUGGGGAGCGAACA
rnacentral:rRNA from 1 species